ensembl:lncRNA
GCAGGGACAGCACAGAUAUUUGUUUCAGAGCAGCAGGGAUUUUUCCCUACUGCAAUUAGAUAUAGAAAGAGAGACGUGCAGCUCUCAUUCACAGUAUAUUACUAAUGAGGACUGGCAACUGGGAAGGCACCUUCAGCAUGGGGCUGGAUGUGCCGGGCCUUGGAGCAGCGCCGCGGGUGCUUGCCCCUCAGUGGGAUGCUCCCCUGCAGGUGAGGGCACAGUGUGCAGGGAAACCUGCUGCGGCUCCUGCUGCUCACCCUUGGCACAGGUGCUCCAGCCCCUGUCCUCAGCCUCCUGUGCACAGCAGCACCCUUGCUCUUCUCCUUGCUCCUUCUCCAAGGUUGUGGCUUCCUCAGGGAUGAGCACAGCAAACCCUCGGCCUCCCCGUCUCCACGCCCGCUCUGCGCAAUCCCUUUGUGCCCCCCGAUUUUGCCCUUUAGCAGUUUUUGGCAGCCCCGUGCUGACUUGCAGCGGUGCGUGAAGAGCAGCGGGAGGCUGGGAGCAGCAGUGGCCUGCAGGAGAGCUGUCGCCACGCCGGCAGUCGGGGAAAGGAAAGGGAGAAGGACCAGCGCCCGGCUGCCUGCACAAGAACUCUGGAAUCUUCCUGUGCUCCCUCCGUUCGCAAGCAAACCGCCCGCAGCCGCAGGAAGAUCCGCUGGGAAGGCAGCUUGUCGGCGCUCCAGCUGCGAGAGGCUGGGGCUGAUAAUCUGCCAGCCUCCGAACAUGUUUACAGCCGUUGCUUUUAAGCUCCGGCUUCAGUGAGCAGCUGCUGAAUCGGUCACGGUGCGGGGAGGUAGGGGCAGAGCCCCCCCAGCCGGGGUCUGGGUGCGUGUGCUGGAAUGCCUCUCCUGGAGCAGGGUGAGGAGCUCUCCAAAGUGCCCCAGCUCUGACCCAAAAUGCAGAAUGGGGAAAAAAAAUCAGGAGAA